rnacentral:rRNA from 1 species
UACGUAGGUGGCGAACGUUGUCCGGAUUCACUGGGCGUAAAGCGCGCGCAGGCGGAUCGGUAAGUCAGAGGUGAAAUCUCCCGGCUCAACUGGGAGGGGCCCUUUGAUACUGCCGACCUUGAGGCAUCUAGAGGAGAGUGGAAUUCCCGGUGUAGUGGUGGAAUGCGUAGAUAUCGGGAGGAACACCAGCGGCGAAAGCGGCUCUCUGGGGAUGUCCUGACGCUGAGGCGCGAAAGCGUGGGGAGCAAACGGG